rnacentral:rRNA from 1 species
CCUACGGGUGGCAGCAGUGGGGGAUAUUGCACAAUGGGGGAAACCCUGAUCCAGCGACGCCGCGUGAGGGAAGACGGUUUUCGGAUUGUAAACCUCUGUCUUUGGGGACGAAUUGAGACGUUACCCAAGGAGGAAGCUCCGGCAAACUACGUGCCAGCAGCCGCGGGAAAAGGUAGGGGCCAAGGUUUUUCCGGAAUUCCUGGGUGUAAAGGGAGCGUAGGCGGGAUAGUAGGUUGAUGGUUAAUACUAUGGGCCCAACUGGGAGAUGCGAUGAAAACUGCAAUUCUUGAGUGAAGUAGAGGUAGGCGGAAUUCCUAGGGUAGCGGUGAAAUGCGUAGAUAUUAGGAGGAACACCAGUGGCGAAGGCGGCUUGCUGGGCUGUAACUGACGCUGAGGCUCGAAAGUGUGGGUAGCAAACAGGAUUAGAUACCCCGGUAGUC